rnacentral:rRNA from 1 species
AUUGAACGCUGGCGGCAGGCCUAACACAUGCAAGUCGAGCGGCAGCGGGAAAGUAGCAUGCUACUUUUGCCGGCGAGCGGCGGACGGGUGAGUAAUGCCUGGGGAUCUGCCCAGUCGAGGGGGAUAACAGUUGGAAACGACUGCUAAUACCGCAUACGCCCUACGGGGGAAAGGAGGGGACCUUCGGGCCUUUCGCGAUUGGAUGAACCCAGGUGGGAUUAGCUAGUUGGUGGGGUAAUGGCUCACCAAGGCGACGAUCCCUAGCUGGUCUGAGAGGAUGAUCAGCCACACUGGAACUGAGACACGGUCCAGACUCCUACGGGAGGCAGCAGUGGGGAAUAUUGCACAAUGGGGGAAACCCUAAUGCAGCCAGGCCGCGUGUGUGAAGAAGGCCUUCGGGUUGUAAAGCACUUUCAGCGAGGAGGAAAGGUUGUUGGCUAAUACCCAGCAACUGUGACGUUACUCGCAGAAGAAGCACCGGCUAACUCCGUGCCAGCCGCCGCCGUAA